AUCCCUUCCCCGCCUUUCAGCUAAGCUCGAGUGGAGUGCCUGCUCCUGUCAGGGUACUGUGGCGUGCCCUCUAUCCGAGGACAAUAUAGUAAAUGGAUUUUUGGAGCCGGGCGAUGGAAUAGCAGCUUGUAUGCACGCCACACAUUGAGCCCUGGGAAUGGUGCCCCCUUC
rnacentral:snRNA from 1 species